GUGCCGUUCUCACAUGCACGUCUUCAGACAAGAAAAGAGAAAGACUACAGGUCUCUACAGGUGAGGUAACUUAGACUAGCAAUUACCUUCCAGCAGAAGGCCUGAGAGGAGAGCUAUUGAUUGGACCAAGAGGUCAGAGGGGGUCGACAGCUGCAGGAGCAGCAUGGACGGGGGAAACACAGCAAAUGUGAUGGAGGAGGGGUGGCCUUCAGGUCAGGGGAGGCAGUAGUGAGCGUGUGCUCUGCACCGCUGUCCACUUCAAUCUACCCAGCCACGGCUGAUCUCAGAAAUAUAUAUACAGAGAGAGUUGUUGGCGGUGAUGGGGGUGUCAGAGGCUCACAUGGGGGAAAACAGAGACAGAGAGGAAAAAUUCAGAGGAGAAAAGGCAGAAAGAGAGAAGGAAGUUAGUAUGGCA